CUUGACUGUAUCCUGGAAUUGGGUUCGGGCUUUUCUUGCGCAGUCUAGGUGGGAGGCUAUGAAGAUUUCCUUCCGGGGAAGUUGGAGCCAUCAGUGAGAGACCACUCUGGAGAGGCUAGAAUCCUAAUGGUGAUCCUUGAAUCAGGACACUUGACAGUUUCAGGUGGGCAGUUUUUCUGGGGCGGAAGCCUCAUAAAGGGCAACUGAGGCGCGCAAAGGUCCCCUCAGUCUGGACGGAAAUCAGACAACGAGUGUAAAGGCAAAGGGGGCUCGACUGCAAGACCUACAAGUCGAGCAGGAGCGAAAGCUGGCCUUAGUGAUCCGACGGUACCGCGUGGAAGGGCCGUCGCUCAACGAAUAAAAGUUA
rnacentral:rRNA from 1 species